rnacentral:misc_RNA from 1 species
GAUGAAGAACGCAGCGAAAUGCGAUAAGUAAUGUGAAUUGCAGAAUUCAGUGAAUCAUCGAAUCUUUGAACGCAUAUUGCGCCCGUCGGCAUUCCGGCGGGCACGCCUGUUCGAGCGUCUUACUCACAAGUUCGAGCAAGUUAUUUGUUUGACUUGCUUGGUGAUGGGCGUUGUUUCCCCUGCUGCUUGCUAGCAGGGGCGCCCCAAAGUCAGACUCCUGGAAACGGGAGGGUGCAGUGGAGCCUCUUUUGCGGGCUCUACAGCCGAGGAGAGCGUCUAUUCUACCGCCGUAAGCACCCCCGAGUGUGAUGGGCGUAGAGUGAGUUUCCCCUCGGCGUCGCCUUGAGUAUUUCUCUUGCAAUGACCUCGGAUCAGGCGGGGAUACCCGCUGAACUUAAGCAUAUCAAUAAGCGGAGGA